ACGAACGCUGGCGGCGUGCCUAAUACAUGCAAGUCGAACGAAACUUUCUUACACCGAAUGCUUGCAUUCACCGUAAGAAGUUGAGUGGCGGACGGGUGAGUAACACGUGGGUAACCUGCCUAAAAGAAGGGGAUAACACUUGGAAACAGGUGCUAAUACCGUAUAUCUCUAAGGAUCGCAUGAUCCUUAGAUGAAAGAUGGUUCUGCUAUCGCUUUUAGAUGGACCCGCGGCGUAUUAACUAGUUGGUGGGGUAACGGCCUACCAAGGUGAUGAUACGUAGCCGAACUGAGAGGUUGAUCGGCCACAUUGGGACUGAGACACGGCCCAAACUCCUACGGGAGGCAGCAGUAGGGAAUCUUCCACAAUGGACGCAAGUCUGAUGGAGCAACGCCGCGUGAGUGAAGAAGGUCUUCGGAUCGUAAAACUCUGUUGUUAGAGAAGAACACGAGUGAGAGUAACUGUUCAUUCGAUGACGGUAUCUAACCAGCAAGUCACGGCUAACUACGUGCCAGCAGCCGCGGUAAUACGUAGGUGGCAAGCGUUGUCCGGAUUUAUUGGGCGUAAAGGGAACGCAGGCGGUCUUUUAAGUCUGAUGUGAAAGCCUUCGGCUUAACCGGAGUAGUGCAUUGGAAACUGGAAGACUUGAGUGCAGAAGAGGAGAGUGGAACUCCAUGUGUAGCGGUGAAAUGCGUAGAUAUAUGGAAGAACACCAGUGGCGAAAGCGGCUCUCUGGUCUGUAACUGACGCUGAGGUUCGAAAGCGUGGGUAGCAAACAGGAUUAGAUACCCUGGUAGUCCACGCCGUAAACGAUGAAUGCUAGGUGUUGGAGGGUUUCCGCCCUUCAGUGCCGCAGCUAACGCAAUAAGCAUUCCGCCUGGGGAGUACGACCGCAAGGUUGAAACUCAAAGGAAUUGACGGGGGCCCGCACAAGCAGUGGAGUAUGUGGUUUAAUUCGACGCAACGCGAAGAACCUUACCAAGUCUUGACAUCCUGCGACGAUGCUGGAAACAGUAUUUCUCUUCGGAGCAAGGAGACAGGUGGUGCAUGGUUGUCGUCAGCUCGUGUCGUGAGAUGUUGGGUUAAGUCCCGCAACGAGCGCAACCCUUACGGUCAGUUGCUACGCAAGAGCACUCUGGCCGGACUGCCGUUGACAAAACGGAGGAAGGUGGGGACGACGUCAAAUCAUCAUGCCCCUUAUGACUUGGGCUACACACGUGCUACAAUGGACGGUACAACGAGUCGCGAGACCGCGAGGUUUAGCUAAUCUCUUAAAGCCGUUCUCAGUUCGGAUUGUAGGCUGCAACUCGCCUACAUGAAGUCGGAAUCGCUAGUAAUCGCGAAUCAGCAUGUCGCGGUGAAUACGUUCCCGGGCCUUGUACACACCGCCCGUCACACCAUGAGAGUUUGUAACACCCAAAGCCGGUGGGGUAACCGCAAGGAGCCAGCCGUCUAAGGUGGGACAGAUGAUUGGGGUG
rnacentral:rRNA from 1 species